rnacentral:rRNA from 1 species
CCUACGGGGGGCAGCAGUGGGGAAUAUUGGACAAUGGGGGGAACCCUGAUCCAGCCAUGCCGCGUGUGUGAAGAAGGCCCUCGGGUUGUAAAGCACUUUCAGUGAGGAAGAACGCCUGGUGGUUAAUACCCAUCAGGAAAGACAUCACUCACAGAAGAAGCACCGGCUAACUCCGUGCCAGCAGCCGCGGUAAUACGGAGGGUGCUAGCGUUAAUCGGAAUUACUGGGCGUAAAGGCGCGUAGGUGGCUUGAUAAGCCGGGUGUGAAAGCCCAGGGCUCAAACUGGGAACGGCAUCCGGAACUGUCAAGCUAGAGUGCAGGAGAGGAAGGUAGAAUUCCCGGUGUAGCGGGGAAAUGCGUAGAGAUCGGGAGGAAUACCAGUGGCGAAGGCGGCCUUCUGGACUGACACUGACACUGAGGUGCGAAAGCGUGGGUAGCAAACAGGAUUAGAUACCCUAGUAGUC